rnacentral:rRNA from 1 species
UAGUAACGGCGAGUGAAGCGGCAGCAGCUCAAAUUUGAAAUCUGGCUCUUUCAGAGUCCGAGUUGUAAUUUGCAGAGGGCGCUUUGGCUUUGGCAGCGGUCCAASUUCCUUGGAACAGGACGUCACAGAGGGUGAGAAUCCCGUACGUGGUCGCUAGCUAUUGCCGUGUAAAGCCCCUUCGACGAGUCGAGUUGUUUGGGAAUGCAGCUCUAAAUGGGAGGUAAAUUUCUUCUAAAGCUAAAUAUUGGCCAGAGACCGAUAGCGCACAAGUAGAGUGAUCGAAAGAUGAAAAGCWCUUUGGAAAGAGAGUCAAACAGCACGUGAAAUUGUUGAAAGGGAAGCGCUUGCAGCCAGACUUGCUUGCAGUUGCUCAUCCGGGCUUUUGCCCGGUGCACUCUUCUGCAGGCAGGCCAGCAUCAGUUUGGGCGGUGGGAUAAAGGUCUCUGUCACGUACCUCUCUUCGGGGAGGCCUUAUAGGGGAGACGACAUACCACCAGCCUAGACUGAGGUCCGCGCAUCUGCUAGGAUGCUGGCGUAAUGGCUGUAAGCGGCCCGUCUUGAAACACGGACCAAGGAGUCUAACAUCUAUGCGAGUGUUUGGGUGUCAAGCCCGAGCGCGUAAUGAAAGUGAACGGAGGUGGGAACCCGCAAGGGUGCACCAUCGACCGAUCCUGAAGUUUACGGAAGGAUUUGAGUAAGAGCAUGGCUGUUGGGACCCGAAAGAUGGUGAACUAUGCUUGAAUAGGGUGAAGCCAGAGGAAACUCUGGUGGAGGCUCGCAGCGGUUCUGACGUGCAAAUCGAUCGUCAA